rnacentral:rRNA from 1 species
GUGGGGAAUAUUGCACAAUGGGCGAAAGCCUGAUGCAGCGACGCCGCGUGAGCGAAGAAGUAUUUCGGUAUGUAAAGCUCUAUCAGCAGGGAAGAUAAUGACGGUACCUGACUAAGAAGCACCGGCUAAAUACGUGCCAGCAGCCGCGGUAAUACGUAUGGUGCAAGCGUUAUCCGGAUUUACUGGGUGUAAAGGGAGCGCAGGCGGUGCGGCAAGUCUGAUGUGAAAGCCCGGGGCUCAACCCCGGUACUGCAUUGGAAACUGUCGUACUAGAGUGUCGGAGGGGUAAGCGGAAUUCCUAGUGUAGCGGUGAAAUGCGUAGAUAUUAGGAGGAACACCAGUGGCGAAGGCAGCCUACUGGGCACCAACUGACGCUGAGGCUCGAAAGUGUGGGUAGCAAACAGGAUUAGAUACCCGAGUAGUCC